CCAAGCUCCCUGUCCAAGUCGCUUCAUUCGGGUGCCCUGGUGGUCCCUCCCAACCCAGUUAUAUAUGAUAAAAAAAGAUAAA